AACUCCAGAGAUUGGGACUCCAUCGACAUAUUUGUGUUUUCAAAUGGACAACAAUAUUCGCCUCCAAGAAAGUAUCAUUUGGAAUCUGACGAUUUGAAAUGCUGGGAUGCCACUAAAUCUUUCUUAGCAAGAUCUCAAUAUGGCUCCAAGCAUUCUGCUAUAGAUCUUUAUUUACUAGACGGGAAAAAAAUUGAAGGUCCUUUAGAGCUAAAGAAUUCUGCAGCUUACGUUGCCGUCGAACCACCAGACACGUUUAUUCCAGCAGGUUAUGAGAAAUACCUGUACAAAGCAUCCAGAUCCUGGGAAAAACGCCAAGGAAAGUUAUCCAAUAGCUAUGUAGUAGAAAGAACAGGUAAAA